rnacentral:rRNA from 1 species
AAUAAUUUAUUUGAUGGUUCCUUACUACAUGGAUAACUGUAGUAAUUCUAGAGCUAAUACAUGCGUAAAGUCCCGACUCUCGCGGGGAGGGAUGUAUUUAUUAGAUAAAAAACCAAUGCGGGCUCUGCCCGGUUUUGUGGUGAAUCAUAGUAACUUUUCGAAUCGCAUGGCUUCACGCCGGCGAUAGUUCAUUCAAAUUUCUGCCCUAUCAGCUUUCGACGGUAGACUAGUGGCCUACCGUGGCAUUAACGGGUAACGGAGAAUUAGGGUUCGAUUCAGGAGAGGGAGCCUGAGAAACGGCUACCACA